rnacentral:rRNA from 1 species
UACGUAGGGUGCAGGCGUUAAUCGGAAUUACUGGGCGUAAAGCGUGCGCAGGCGGUGAUGUAAGACAGAUGUGAAAUUCCCGGGCUCAACCUGGGAACUGCAUUUGUGACUGCAUCGCUGGAGUGCGGCAGAGGGGGAUGGAAUUCCGCGUGUAGCAGUGAAAUGCGUAGAUAUGCGGAGGAACACCGAUGGCGAAGGCAAUCCCCUGGGCCUGCACUGACGCUCAUGCACGAAAGCGUGGGGAGCAAACAGG